rnacentral:rRNA from 1 species
UGAGGAAUUUUGCGCAAUGGGCGAAAGCCUGACGCAGCGACGCCGCGUGGAGGAUGACGGCCUUCGGGUUGUAAACUCCUGUCAGGGGUGAAGAAACUUCGCAAGAAGCUGACGGUAACCCCAGAGGAAGCCCCGGCUAACUACGUGCCAGCAGCCGCGGUAAUACGUAGGGUGCAAGCGUUAUUCGGAAUUACUGGGCGUAAAGGGCGUGCAGGCGGGAGAGCAAGUCUGAUGUGAAAGCCCGGGGCUUAACCCCGGAAGGGCAUUGGAAACUGCUUUUCUUGAGUUCUGGAGAGGAAGGGAGAAUUCCCGGUGUAGAGGUGAAAUUCGUAGAGAUCGGGAGGAACAUCAGUGGCGAAGGCGCCCUUCUGGACAGCAACUGACGCUGAGACGCGAAAGCGUGGGGAGCAAACA